rnacentral:lncRNA from 1 species
CACGUCAGGGGUGGGGGGCGCAGGUCAAGCUUUCACCAGUUUUUAAUUCUUUGAUGGGGUAAAUUUGAGCAAUUUUCUCGACUUGUCGACAUUCGUUAUUAACUGAGCAGGAAUCAGGAGAGGAACCCGGUCCUCUCCACACAGCCCAGCAGAGAGCCUACGACUAGAUUUGCAUCUUUACGUCCUGCGCGGAGGCUGCUACACACAUGCAGAAGUCAUGCUGGUGGCCUGGACAGUGAAGGGAGAGAAGUGGAUUUGGGAGACAUUUAGGAGGCAGAACUUGGUUUUGCGGUGCAGUAGGGUGCCUGGAGCCGAAAGCCUGACUUCCUCAUACAGGCCAGACCCCACAUGUGACUGCCAGGCCACUCUGAGGCUGAGAGAGAUGGUUUUGUCUGGCCUCUGUCCUGCACGUGUUUACGGAUGACCUCUGUGUUG